rnacentral:rRNA from 1 species
UACGGGAGGCAGCAGUGAGGAAUAUUGGUCAAUGGACGCAAGUCUGAACCAGCCAAGUAGCGUGCAGGACGACGGCCCUAUGGGUUGUAAACUGCUUUUAUGCGGGGAUAAAGUGCGGCACGUGUGCCGUUUUGUAGGUACCGCAUGAAUAAGGACCGGCUAAUUCCGUGCCAGCAGCCGCGGUAAU